UCCGCAUGAAAAUUACCUUGAAAAGGCUUCUCAAUGCCUAGAGAAACUUAAGACAUUGGAUGAAAUCAAAAAGACUCUAACUGAGAGACGCUACCCCGGAGUGCCGAGGUUUGUGCAGGACAUGGAUCGCAUCUUUCAGGGCCCCAGCAGCAAUGACUCAGAUGGAAUAGAGGAGGAAUUUAAGAAGAAUUUCAAAGAAGUCUUUGCUAUUCAGAAAAGAAAUUAAAACAGCUCCCUGGUGUGGUGGAUGCUGUUAAUACCCUGGACAGUCCCGCUUCAGGCAGAUUUCUCAUCCCCCAGCUGCUAUGAGGCUUGGCUGCCGAUGCCACCUCCCCCCGUGUAUUGCUUUGGGCCAAAUGGAGCCAGAUUCACAUGAAGGUUACAUCUCUGUGUCCUGGGGGCUGCUUCCCAGCAUCAAGGUUGAGUCAACCAUGUGGAGAGACUCGCGAUCCUGUGCUCCCCAGUGAGUCAGGCUGGAGUUAGUCUCCAGCUAUGACCACGCCCUUGCUGAGCUUUUCCCACCAUGGUACCCUGCUUCCCUUAUCCCUCCUCCUGAGAGGACUCUCCCAAUAAAUCGCUUACUGAA